rnacentral:rRNA from 1 species
AAACUUUGAUAAAAACAUACAACUAAUAUCCGCCAGGGUACUACAAGCGCCANCUUAAAACCCAAAGGACUUGGCGGUGCCCCAGACCCACCUAGAGGAGCCUGUCCUAGAACCGAUAUCCCCCGUUCAACCUCACCACCUCUUGUCAACCCCGCCUAUAUACCGCCGUCGUCAGCUUACCCUGUGAAGGUCUCAUAGUAAGCUAAAAGGGCAAACCCCCAAACGUCAGGUCGAGGUGUAGCGCAUGAGGUGGGAAGAAAUGGGCUACAUUCUCUAACACAGAGCACACGAACAAUGCUGUGAAACCAGCAUUUUAAGGUGGAUUUAGCAGUAAGCAGAAAAUAGAGAGUUCU